rnacentral:rRNA from 1 species
AGGACGAACGCUGGCGGCGUGCUUAACACAUGCAAGUCGAGCGGUAAGGCCUUUCGGGGUACACGAGCGGCGAACGGGUGAGUAACACGUGGGUGAUCUGCCCUGCACUUCGGGAUAAGCCUGGGGAAACUGGGUCUAAUACCGGAUAUGACCUCAGGUUGCAUGACUUGGGGUGGAAAGAUUUAUCGGUGCAGGAUGGGCCCGCGGCCUAUCAGCUUGUUGGUGGGGUAAUGGCCUACCAAGGCGACGACGGGUAGCCGACCUGAGAGGGUGACCGGCCACACUGGGACUGAGACACGGCCCAGACUCCUACGGGAGGCAGCAGUGGGGAAUAUUGCACAAUGGGCGAAAGCCUGAUGCAGCGACGCCGCGUGAGGAUGACGGCUUCGGGUUGUAAACCUCUUUCAGCGAGGACGAAGCGCAAGUGACGUACCUGCAGAAGAAGCAACCGGCUAACUACGUGUACAGCAGCCGAC